GGCGGCAUAGCCAAACGGUAAGGCUAGGGUCUGCAAAACCCUCAUCCUCGGUUCGACUCCGAGUGCCGCCUCCA
rnacentral:tRNA from 1 species